CUACGGGGGGCAGCAGUGGGGAAUAUUGGACAAUGGGGGAAACCCUGAUCCAGCAAUGCCGCGUGUGUGAAGAAGGCCUGCGGGUUGUAAAGCACUUUCGGUUGGGAGGACUGCUUCUAGCACUAAUAUUGUUGGAAGUUGACGUUACCUUCAGAAGAAGCACCGGCUAACUCCGUGCCAGCAGCCGCGGUAGUACGGAGGGUGCAAGCGUUAAUCGGAAUUACUGGGCGUAAAGCGCGCGUAGGCGGCUAGAUCAGUCGGGUGUGAAAGCCCCGGGCUUAACCUGGGAACUGCAUCCGAUACUGUCUAGCUUGAGUACAGGAGAGGAGAGUGGAAUUACACAUGUAGCGGUGAAAUGCGAAGAUAUGUGGAGGAACACCAAUGGCGAAGGCAGCUCUCUGGCCUGAUACUGACGCUGAGGUGCGAAAGCGUGGGGAGCAAACAGGAUUAGAUACCCCAGUAGUC
rnacentral:rRNA from 1 species